rnacentral:rRNA from 1 species
AAGUCGAACGAACUUAAUCUCUUGCUUGCAAGAGAAGCGGUUAGUGGCGGCACUGGUGAGUAACACGUAAGAAAUCUGCCUAUCAGAGGGGAAUAACAGUGAGAAAUCAUUGCUAAUACCGCAUAUGCCAUAGGGUUCGCAUGAACCUAGUGGGAAAGAAGCAAUUCGCUGAUAGAUGAGCUUGCGUCUGAUUAGCUAGUUGGUGGGGUAAAGGCCUACCAAGGCGACGAUCAGUAGCCGGACUGAGAGGUUGAACGGCCACAUUGGGACUGAGAUACGGCCCAGACUCCUACGGGAGGCAGCAGUCGGGAAUAUUGCGCAAUGGAGGAAACUCUGACGCAGUGACGCCGCGUAUAGGAAGAAGGUUUUCGGAUUGUAAACUAUUGUCCACAGGGAAGAAAAAAGACUGUACCUGUGAAGAAAGCUCCGGCUAACUACGUGCCAGCAGCCGCGGUAAUACGUAGGGAGCAAGCGUUAUCCGGAAUUAUUGGGUGUAAAGGGUGCGUAGACGGGAUAACAAGUUGGUUGUGAAGCCCCUCGGCUCAACUGAGGAACUGCAACCAAAACUAUUAUUCUUGAGUGCAGGAGAGGAAAGUGGAAUUCCUAGUGUAGCGGUGAAAUGCGUAGAUAUUAGGAAGAACACCGGUGGCGAAGGCGGCUUACUGGACCGUAACUGACGUUGAGGCUCGAAAGCGUGGGGAGCAAACAGGAUUAGAUACCCUGGUAGUCCACGCCGUAAACGAUGAUUACUAGGUGUCGGGGGACCAAGGUGCUCCGGUGCCGGCGCAAACGCAUUAAGUAAUCCACCUGGGGAGUACGUUCGCAAG